rnacentral:rRNA from 1 species
UACGGAGGGGGCCAGCGUUGUUCGGAAUCAUUGGGCGUAAAGGGCGCGUAGGCGGCUUUGUAAGUCCGUUGUGAAAUCCCUCGGCUCAACCGAGGAACUGCGACGGAUACUGCUUGGCUUGAGUCCCGGAGAGGGUAGCGGAAUUCCCAGUGUAGCGGUGAAAUGCGCAGAUAUUAGAAGGAACACCGGUGGCGAAGGCGCCACUCUGGGCCGAAACUGACGCUGAGGAGCGAAAGCGUGGGUAGCAAACAGG